GGGGCGCUUGCUCUUCUAACGCGCGGCUCGGGGACAGCUCUAGGCCAAACCAACCGAGAAGAGCGUGCGACAGACCAUUGGGGGAGAGUAACCUGCUUGGAAGAGCCCACUGGGUUUGGGCGGGAGAGCUGUUUGGGCGAGCCCACUAGGAUUGGAAGAGAUAAUCAGUUUCAAAAGGACCUUGAUAUAUCUGCUUCCCUAGAAAGCUGCUUCUGAGCAAGUCAACUUCUGCAACAGAUAGCAAAAGCGACAACUUUCCUUUUGCAACGUGUAUGAUCUUUGAGCAAUCACUUCAACUCAUUGUGCCGGCUUCCUUAUAAUACAGGUAAUAGUGCGUAUGUACCACAUCUGAGUGCUAUGAGGUUUAGUUCAGCAAGUUUAUAAAGUAAUUGAAGAUGCUCAGAUGGAAGGAGCUAAAGACAAAGUUUAACAUCACAACUAAAAUAUUCCCCCC
rnacentral:lncRNA from 1 species